CAGGAAUGCAUCCCCGCCAUCUGCCCAGGGGGAACAAAAUCACCUACUCUCAAUAGAGAAGAUGGAACAUCAGAUCUAUGUAACUAUUGACUACACACGAGUGGUGAACUUAAGUAUUGAGCGAGGGAAGAAAAUGGCUCCAAGUGUUCUACCUUAUGACAACUUAUGGCUUCCAAGAUUACUUCAGU